rnacentral:rRNA from 1 species
AUUGAACGCUGGCGGCAGGCCUAACACAUGCAAGUCGAGCGAGCGGAGGACGGGUGAGUAAUGUAUGGGGACUGCCCGAUAGAGGGGGAUAACUACUGGAAACGGUAGCUAAUAACGCAUACUAUCGGAUAACCCAUAUGGGAUUAGCUAGUAGGUGAGGUAAUGGCUCACCUAGGCGACGAUCCCUAGCUGGUCUGAGAGGCUGAUCAGCCACACUGGUACUGAGACACGGCCCAGACUCCGACGGAGGCAGCAUUGGGGAAUAUUGCACAAUGGGCGCAAGCCUGAGGCAGCGAUGCCGCGUGUAUGAAGAAGGCCCUAGGGUUGUAAAGUACUUUCAGUCGGGAGGCGUUACCGACAGAAGAAGCACCGGCUAACUCCGUGCCAGCCGCCGCGGUAAUAC